UCCUCGAUGGUCUAACGGUCAUGAUUUCCGCUUGUCACCUGCCCAGGAACAAGCGCGGGAGACCUGGGUUCGACUCCCAGUCGGGGAG
rnacentral:tRNA from 1 species